rnacentral:rRNA from 1 species
GCGUAACGCGUAUGCAACCUACCUCCAACUGGGGAAUAGCCCCGAGAAAUCGGGAUUAAUACCCCAUAAUAUUCAUCAUUCGCAUGUUUGAUGAAUUAAAGUUCCGACGGUUAGAGAUGGGCAUGCGUGACAUUAGCUAGUUGGUGAGGUAACGGCUCACCAAGGCAACGAUGUCUAGGGGUUCUGAGAGGAUUGUCCCCCACACUGGUACUGAGACACGGACCAG